CCUUGCUAAGUUCUCAUAAACAGAUUAUCAGCGCAAGAUACUUUUCCAUUUAUUGUUGGGAUGCUAGUUAUUGGCAUUUUGUGACAAAAAAACUAUCGAAAACUGAAUGAUGACAACAAGGGAAUCACUCUUCAACUAAUAUGUUCGACGUCUUUCGAAAAUAAGCAUGUCAUCUUCAAAAACACUGCUAAAACAUCGGAGGGACAGAGACGGCUUCCAUGGACUAUAUACAGCUGUGUCUUUUCUGGUAUCUUGAUUCGAAAUUCAGCAUUCGGGAUCAACUCGCCGGUAACAUGAUCAGUUCGCGUCCUCUACCGACUGGCAUGGAUAAUCCACUACCAUGGUUUGCAUACUUAUGCACCCAAAAACCUUCUGUUAGAAAGACAUGAAGUAUUUUUUGAAUAUCAAACCAGGGUAAAUAAAGAGUUAAAGAGAGGGUAUAUAUAUUUAGGGAGAAGAAUAGUAAAAACAUGAUGUUUAUAGUUCAUGUCUAUCCUCAAACUGAUGCUUAGAGUUUGUGGAUCUUAUGAUAU